GACUUCCUUGCUCUCCUCUGAGCAGUGGAAGGUUUUUAAUCACUCCUUGUGUAGCAGGCACUCCAGCCUGCUACCUGACAGCCAUCUAACUCCCUCCUCUCUGCUGGUAGAACAAGUUCACUCUUUCCUCAUGUGAUGAAGGAGGAGAGCUUGCUGAUGCUCUGAGGAUAGCAGAGUAGGUGGAAAGAGCUUGAUGGUGUUGAGCUGCUGAAUUACCAAACUGGAAGCAGACUACAUGUGGACUUCUUUUUAUAUGAGAUGCCACCGUAAGUCAUCAACGGAGCAUGUUUUCCUUCUGGUACUGAUUGCUCAGAAGCUCAGAGUAUCAGUGGGUCUUCACAUCUCAGUUCAAAAGUCACCACCUCUGGGAAGCCUGUGUGAACAUCCUUGACUGCCUCAGCAACAACUUCUCUGCAGUAGCGCCAAUAAGGUAGUAUUCAUUCAAUUCAAAUGGCAAUUAUACACUACUAUAGUUAUGUGUCCCUGAAGGAGGGGGAUGCGUUCUGAGAAAUGAAUUGUUAGGGGACUUCAUCGUGUGAAUAUCGUAGGGUGUACUUACACAAACCUAGAGGGUACAGCCUACCACACACCUAGGCUACAUGGUAGAGCCUAUUGUGUCUAGGCUAUAAACCUGGACAGCAUGUUACUGUUGUGAAUACUGUAGGCAACUAUAACACAAUGCUAUUUGUGUAUCUAAACAUAGAAAAGGUAUAGUAAAAACAUGGUAUUAUCAUCUUUAAAAUAGGUUGUUUUGUUUAAAAAACAUUCAGUCAGUACCAAUGGUAUUAUAGUCUUAUGGGACCACUGCCACAGAUGCAGCCUAUAGUUGACUGAAAUUUCAUUAUGCGCAUAUGACUGUACUAUUGGUAAUAUUAAAAGCUGGUUUUUUAUGUGCUAGGCACUGUUCAAGUGCUUUACAUGCUCCUUUAAUCCCCUUGGUAAUCCUAUGAGGAAGGUUCUUUUCAUUAUUCCAUUUAGUAGGACAGCAAAUUGAGGCACAGAGGUUAAGCCAGUAGUCUAAGGUUACAUGGCUUGUAAGUGGCAGAGUCAAAUUGUAAACCCAGACAAUUUGGUUCUAGACUUCACACUCCAUGCCUGCCUCCAACUAGGGUCCACUUCCCUCUGCUCUCAUUGCCCUUGCACUUACUUUACUCUGGUGUCUCCUAUAUUUUAGAUUUCCAUUUAUUGGUUUCUCCCCCAACAGGUUUGCAGAAUCCCUGAAGGUUAAUAAUGUGUCUAGCUCAUUUUUGUCUCUCCAGGACCUAGUAAGGUACUUGGUAUAUCGUAGAUACUCAGUAAAGACACACACAGGAAAACACUGGAAUAGCAUUGAAAGGAUAGGAGCCAAGGCUAUCAACCCAGGCCUGAUAAAAACGCACCAGUAUAAAGAAUCUUCAAAUACACACUUUAACAAAGCAAGUUUUGACUUCAUCUUUUAAAUCCAGCCAGUUCCAAGGAGAUGGUCACUUCCUAGGCCUGUUCAAUACCAGAGG
rnacentral:lncRNA from 1 species